rnacentral:rRNA from 1 species
CACGUAGGGCGCAAGCGUUGUCCGGAAUUAUUGGGCGUAAAGAGCUCGUAGGCGGUCUGUUACGUCUGCUGUGAAAACCCGGGGCUUAACCCUGGGCUUGCAGUGGAUACGGGCAGACUAGAGGCAGGUAGGGGAGAAUGGAAUUCCCGGUGUAGCGGUGAAAUGCGCAGAUAUCGGGAGGAACACCGGUGGCGAAGGCGGUUCUCUGGGCCUGACCUGACGCUGAGGAGCGAAAGCUAGGGUAGCAAACGGG